rnacentral:rRNA from 1 species
GGGCAGCAGUGAGGAAUAUUGGACAAUGGGCGAGAGCCUGAUCCAGCCAUGCCGCGUGCAGGAAGACGGUCCUAUGGAUUGUAAACUGCUUUUAUACGGGAAGAAACACCCCCUCGUGAGGGGGCUUGACGGUACCGUAAGAAUAAGGAUCGGCUAACUCCGUGCCAGCAGCCGCGGUAAUACGGAGGAUCCAAGCGUUAUCCGGAAUCAUUGGGUUUAAAGGGUCCGUAGGUGGAUAAUUAAGUCAGAGGUGAAAUCCUGCAGCUCAACUGUAGAAUUGCCUUUGAUACUGGUUAUCUUGAAUUAUUAUGAAGUAGUUAGAAUAUGUAGUGUAGCGGUGAAAUGCAUAGAUAUUACAUAGAAUACCAAUUGCGAAGGCAGAUUACUAAUAAUGGAUUGACACUGAUGGACGAAAGCGUGGGGAGCGAACAGGAUUAGAUACCCGGGUAGUC